rnacentral:lncRNA from 1 species
CAGAAAUGUAGGCUGAAAAUGAGAUCCAGCUUUUAAAACCUCGAACAUGGCUGCUCCAGAGCCUCCCAGGAAAGUGAAAGCCUGUCACAUGUACCAGAAGACCUCGUAUGACCUCACACACAGGCUUCAGCCGCUUCUUGACAAUUCUCCCAGGUGACCCCUGAAGUUCAAGGACCAUGUCCAACCCAGGCCCUGCCCUGGAUUCAUGUGGACUGGUCCCUGACAGAGGCCUGAACACUUGGCUGUGUGAGUUGUUUCUCUCCUAUCACCCAGCCACCCUGCAAGAGAUCAAAAGCAGCAUAUCCCAGAGUGAUGCCAUAUGAUGCCAUCCAGGUCCACAGAACCCCCAGCAGCCCUGGGCCAUUAUCAUACUGACAGCUCAUUCCAGCUUCACAAGGGGUGGGCAUCCUACCAGGAUACUACAGGCCUCAAGUCUACCCAAAACCCAACGCAGGUCAGAUCCAUCUUGGGAUCAGCAUGAGGUGGUAGAACUAGAGAGAACCAGGUCCAAGGCAUUUAGAUGCCAGCUCCAGGUUUGACCUUGCAUAUCUGUGAUACACUUUUGGAAGAAGGUAUUCAAGCCCGUGACGCACUUCCCCACCGACCUGGCAGAACCCAGUCUGAAGCCAGGGGAUACUGAGCAAACCUGGAUCAUCUUCGCUCACAUAGGAUCUUGUAAUGUCUCGGGGGCAUUUGCAUCAGUCGUUUCUCUAAACUUCACACAAAGGCGUUACUUGUCUUGGUCACCCCUAGCAUGCCUGUGUUAGCCAGACCCACAAUGGUCCUCAGUGGGCAUGGUUUGCCUCUGGGCACACCAACCCAGACCUAGUCAGCUAGCAUGCAUCUUGUUAACUUUAUGGACCGUGUUCACAAGGAGGCCCGCCUUCUGCCCAGCCGGAUGCCACCCCUCCCAUCGUUCCCAGACUCGCUGUUGGCACGGCCUACUGAGCAGAGACACUGGUCGCUUU